AAUACUAAGGCAUCGCAAGCAUGGCAGUUGCAUCACCAUUGCAUCAGUAAGUGGCAGAGAGGAGAGAGGCCAUGUCUACGCUCUGUGUUCUGACAUGUGAACAUCUGAAUGGUUAGUAGGCUUGCAUU